GAAGUGCGAAUGCUGACAUAAGUAACGAUAAAGCGGGUGAAAAGCCCGCUCGCCGGAAGACCAAGGGUUCCUGUCCAACGUUAAUCGGGGCAGGGUGAGUCGACCCCUAAGGCGAGGCCGAAAGGCGUAGUCGAUGGGAAACAGGUUAAUAUUCCUGUACUUGGUGUUACUGCGAAGGGGGGACGGAGAAGGCUAUGUUGGCCGGGCGACGGUUGUCCCGGUUUAAGCGUGUAGGCUGGUUUUCCAGGCAAAUCCGGAAAAUCAAGGCUGAGGCGUGAUGACGAGGCACUACGGUGCUGAAGCAACAAAUGCCCUGCUUCCAGGAAAAGCCUCUAAGCAUCAGGUAACAUCAAAUCGUACCCCAAACCGACACAGGUGGUCAGGUAGAGAAUACCAAGGCGCUUGAGAGAACUCGGGUGAAGGAACUAGGCAAAAUGGUGCCGUAACUUCGGGAGAAGGCACGCUGAUAUGUAGGUGAAGUCCCUUGCGGAUGGAGCUGAAAUCAG
rnacentral:rRNA from 1 species